CUACGGGCGGCUCCAGUGAGGAAUAUUGCACAAUGGGGGGAACCCUGAUGCAGCAACGCCGCGUGGAGGAUGACGCAUUUCGGUGUGUAAACUCCUUUUAUAUGUCAAGAAGAUGACGGUAGCAUAUGAAUAAGCACCGGCUAACUCCGUGCCAGCAGCUGCGGUAAUACGGAGGGUGCAAGCGUUACUCGGAAUCACUGGGCGUAAAGGACGCGUAGGGGGGUUGGAAAGUCAGGUGUGAAAUCCUACAGCUUAACUGUAGAACUGCACUUGAAACUUCUAAUCUAGAGUAUGGGAGGGGGAGAUGGAAUUAGUGGUGUAGGGGUAAAAUCCGUAGAUAUCACUAGGAAUACCUAAAGCGAAGGCGAUCUCCUGGAACAUUACUGACGCUAAGGCGUGAAAGCGUGGGGAGCAAACAGGAUUAGAUACCCCUGUAGUC
rnacentral:rRNA from 1 species